rnacentral:rRNA from 1 species
UACGAAGGGGGCUAGCGUUGCUCGGAAUCACUGGGCGUAAAGGGUGCGUAGGCGGGUCUUUAAGUCAGGGGUGAAAUCCUGGAGCUCAACUCCAGAACUGCCUUUGAUACUGGGGAUCUUGAGUUCGGGAGAGGUGAGUAGAACUGCGAGUGUAGAGGUGAAAUUCGUAGAUAUUCGCAAGAACACCAGUGGCGAAGGCGGCUCACUGGCCCGAUACUGACGCUGAGGCACGAAAGCGUGGGGAGCAAACAGG